rnacentral:rRNA from 1 species
UACCAGCUCUCCGAGUGGUGUGGAUGUUUAUUGGGCCUAAAGCAUCCGUAGCUGGCUGGACAAGUCCCCUGUUAAAUCCACCGAUUUAAUCGUUGGUGUGCGGGGGAUACUGUUCGGCUAGGGGACGGGAGAGGCAGACGGUAUUUUCGGGGUAGGGGUGAAAUCCUAUAAUCCCGGGAAGACCACCAGUGGCGAAGGCUGUCUGCUAGAACGCGCCCGACGGUGAGGGAUGAAAGCUGGGGGAGCGAACCGGAUUAGAUACCCGGGUAGUCCCAGCUGUAAACGAUGCAGGCUAGGUGUUUGGACGGCCACGUGCCGUUCUAGUGCCGCAGGGAAGCCGUUAAGCCUGCCGCCUGGGGAGUACGGCCGCAAGGCUGAAACUUAAGGAAUUGGCGGGGAGCACCUCAAGGGGUGAAGCUUGCGGUUU